rnacentral:rRNA from 1 species
GCCGUUCUCAGUUCGGAUCGGAGUCUGCAACCCGACUCCGUGAAGCUGGAUUCGCUAGUAAUCGCGCAUCAGCCAUGGCGCGGUGAAUACGUUCCCGGGCCUUGUACACACCGCCCGUCACACCAUGGGAGCCGGGAAUGCCCGAAGUCGGUGACCCAACCGUAAGGAGGGAGCCGCCGAAGGCAGGCCUGGUAACUGGGGUGAAGUCGUAACAAGGUAGC